rnacentral:misc_RNA from 1 species
GAUGAAGAACGCAGCGAAAUGCGAUACGUAAUGCGAAUUGCAGAAUUCCAGUGAGUCAUCGAAUCUUUGAACGCACAUUGCGCCCUUUGGUAUUCCGAAGGGCAUGCCUGUUCGAGCGUCAUUAUCACCCCUCAAGCCCUCGGCUUGGUGUUGGACGGUUUGGUGGAGGCCCCCUCGGGGGUUCCUGCCCCUCCCAAAGACAAUGACGGCGGCCUCGUUGGACCCCCGGUACACUGAGUUCUUCACGGGACACGUAUCGGACACAUGGGUUUACGGGACACGGUCUGCCUCCCCUCAGGGAGAAUCUUUCUAAGGUUGACCUCGGAUCAGGUAGGGAUACCCGCUGAACUUAAGCAUAUCAAUAAGCGGAGGA